rnacentral:rRNA from 1 species
GACGAACGCUGGCGGUAUGCUUAACACAUGCAAGUCGAACGAGAAGUUUUUUAUUGAACCUUCGGGGGAUAUAAGAGACAGACAGUGGCGAACGGGUGAGUAACGCGUGGGCAACCUACCUAUCGGAGCGGGAUAGCCUCGAGAAAUCGGGAGUAAAACCGCAUAACAAGGAUAUAUCGCAUGAUGAAUCCGUCAAAACUCCGGUGCCGAUAGAUGGGCCCGCGUCUGAUUAGCUAGUUGGUAAGGUAAGGGCUUACCAAGGCAACGAUCAGUAGCCGGUCUGAGAGGGCGAACGGCCACACUGGAACUGAGACACGGUCCAGACUCCUACGGGAGGCAGCAGUGGGGAAUAUUGCGCAAUGGGGGCAACCCUGACGCAGCAAUACCGCGUGAGUGAAGAAGGUUUUCGGAUCGUAAAGCUCUGUUAUUGGGGAAGAAGCAGGACGGUACCC